rnacentral:rRNA from 1 species
AACGAACGCUGGCGGCGCGCUUUACACAUGCAAGUCGCACGAGAAAGGGCUUCGGCCCGAGUAAAGUGGCGGACGGGUGAGUAAUGCAUGGAUAACCUGCCUUCGAGUGGGGGAUAACCCCGGGGAACCGGGGCUAAUACCGCAUGACAAGUCGCGAGCUUCGGCCUGCGCCUUCAAAGCUGGUCUCUGCUUGCACGCUGGCGCUUGAAGAGGGGUCCAUGUCCCAUUAGCUAGUUGGUGAGGUAACGGCUCACCAAGGCGACGAUGGGUAGCCGACCUGAGAGGGUGAUCGGCCACACUGGGACUGAGACACGGCCCAGACUCCUACGGGAGGCAGCAGUGGGGAAUUUUGCGCAAUGGGGGAAACCCUGACGCAGCGACGCCGCGUGGAGGAUGAAGGCCCUUGGGUCGUAAACUCCUGUCAGGUGGGAAGAAAAGCCUUCGGUAAACAGCCGAGGGUCUUGACUGUACCACCGGAGGAAGCCCCGGCUAACUCCGUGCCAGCAGCCGCGGUAAAAC